rnacentral:rRNA from 1 species
GGCCAGCAGCCGCGGUAAUUCCAGCUCCAAUAGCGUAUAUUAAAGUUGUUGCAGUUAAAAAGCUCGUAGUUGAACCUUGGGUCUGGCUGACCGGUCCGCCUCACCGCGUGUACUGGUUCGGCCGGACCUUUCCUUCUGGGGAACCGCAUGCCCUUAACUGGGUGUGUUGGAGAACCAGGACUUUUACUUUGAAAAAAUUAGAGUGUUCAAAGCAGGCCUAUGCUCGAAUACAUUAGCAUGGAAUAAUAGAAUAGGACGGCGUUCUUAUUUUGUUGGUUUCUAAGACCGCCGUAAUGAUUAAUAGGGAUAGUCGGGGGCAUCAGUAUUCAAUUGUCAGAGGUGAAAUUCUUGGAUUUAUUGAAGACUAACUACUGCGAAAGCAUUUGCCAAGGAUGUUUUCAUUAAUCAGUGAACGAAAGUUAGGGGAUCGAAGACGAUCAGAUACCGUCGUAGUCUUAACCAUAAACUAUGCCGACUAGGGAUCGGACGGUGUUAUUAUUUUGACCCGUUCGGCACCUUACGAGAAAUCAAAGUC